UACGUAGGGUGCGAGCGUUGUCCGGAAUUAUUGGGCGUAAAGAGCUCGUAGGUGGCCUGUCGCGUCGGCUGUGAAAACUCGGGGCUCAACUCCGAGCUUGCAGUCGAUACGGGCAGGCUAGAGUUCGGCAGGGGAGACUGGAAUUCCUGGUGUAGCGGUGGAAUGCGCAGAUAUCAGGAGGAACACCAAUGGCGAAGGCAGAUCUCUGGGCCGUAACUGACGCUGAGGAGCGAAAGCAUGGGGAGCGAACAGG
rnacentral:rRNA from 1 species